UACGUAGGGGGCUAGCGUUGUCCGGAUUUAUUGGGCGUAAAGAGCGUGUAGGCGGCCAAGUAGGUCCGGUGUGAAAAACUCGAGGCUUAACCUCGGAACUGCCUUUGAUACAGCAAGUCUUUGAGUUCAGAGAGGUGGGUGGAAUUCCUAGUGUAGAGGUGAAAUUCGUAGAUAUUAGGAAGAACACCGGUGGCGAAGGCGGCCCACUGGCUCGACACUGACGCUGAGGUGCGAAAGCGUGGG
rnacentral:rRNA from 1 species